rnacentral:rRNA from 1 species
UCUUAGUGGCGGACGGGUGAGUAACGCGUGGGGAACCUGCCCUGUACAGGGGGAUAACACUUAGAAAUAGGUGCUAAUACCGCAUAAGCGCACAGUAUCGCAUGAUACAGUGUGAAAAACUCCGGUGGUACAGGAUGGACCCGCGUCUGAUUAGCUGGUUGGCGGGGUAACGGCCCACCAAGGCGACGAUCGGUAGCCGGCCUGAGAGGGUGAACGGCCACAUUGGGACUGAGACACGGCCCAAACUCCUACGGGAGGCAGCAG